rnacentral:rRNA from 1 species
GCGGGGGCAACCCUGGGCGACGAGUGGCGAACGGGUGAGUAAUACAUCGGAACAUAUCCAGUAGCGGGGGAUAACCUAUCGAAAGAUUGGCUAAUACCGCAUACGAUCUACGGAUGAAAGCAGGGGACCGCAAGGCCUUGCACUAUUGGAGUGGCCGAUGUCAGAUUAGCUAGUUGGUGGGGUAAAAGCCUACCAAGGCGACGAUCUGUAGCUGGUCUGAGAGGACGAUCAGCCACACUGGAACUGAGACACGGUCCAGACUCCUACGGGAGGCAGCAGUGGGGAAUUUUGGACAAUGGGCGCAAGCCUGAUCCAGCCAUGCCGCGUGAGUGAAGAAGGCCUUCGGGUUGUAAAGCUCUUUCGGUGAAGACGAAACGGUUAGCGUUAAUAACGCUGACUAAUGACGGUACUCACAGAAGAAGCACCGGCUAACUACGUGCCAGCAGCCGCGGUAAUACGUAGGGUGCAGGCGUUAAUCGGAAUUACUGGGCGUAAAGCGUGCGCAGGCGGUUUGCUAAGACAGGUGUGAAAUCCCCGGGCUUAACCUGGGAAUUGCGCUUGUAACUGGCAAGCUAGAGUGUGGCAGAGGGGGGUGGAAUUCCACGUGUAGCAGUGAAAUGCGUAGAUAUGUGGAGGAACACCGAUGGCGAAGGCAGCCCCCUGGGUUAACACUGACGCUCAGGCACGAAAGCGUGGGGAGCAAACAGGAUUAGAUACCCUGGUAGUCCACGCCCUAAACUAUGUCAACUAGUUGUCGGGGAAGAAAUUCCUUGGUAACGAAGCUAACGCGUGAAGUUGACCGCCUGGGGGAGUACGGCCGCAAGGUUAAAAC